rnacentral:rRNA from 1 species
AGAACGAACGCUGGCGGCAUGCCUAACACAUGCAAGUCGAACGAGACCUUCGGGUCUAGUGGCGCACGGGUGCGUAACGCGUGGGAAUCUGCCCUUGGGUUCGGGAUAACAGUUGGAAACGACUGCUAAUACCGGAUGAUGUCUUCGGACCAAAGAUUUAUCGCCCAGGGAUGAGCCCGCGUCGGAUUAGCUAGUUGGUGGGGUAAAAGCCUACCAAGGCGACGAUCCGUAGCUGGUCUGAGAGGAUGAUCAGCCACACUGGGACUGAGACACGGCCCAG